rnacentral:rRNA from 1 species
GAGUUUGAUCCUGGCUCAGGAUGAACGCUGGCGGCGUGCUUAACACAUGCAAGUCGAACGAAGCGCCUUGCCGGAACCCCUUCGGGGAGGAAGGCAUUGCGACUGAGUGGCGGACGGGUGAGUAACGCGUGGGCAACCUGCCCCAUACAGGGGGAUAACAGUUAGAAAUGACUGCUAACACCGCAUAAGCGCACAGGGCCGCAUGGCCCGGUGUGAAAAACUCCGGUGGUAUGGGAUGGGCCCGCGUCUGAUUAGCCAGUUGGCGGGGUAACGGCCCACCAAAGCGACGAUCAGUAGCCGACCUGAGAGGGUGACCGGCCACAUUGGGACUGAGACACGGCCCAAACUCCUACGGGAGGCAGCAGUGGGGAAUAUUGCACAAUGGGGGGAACCCUGAUGCAGCGACGCCGCGUGAGCGAAGAAGUAUCUCGGUAUGUAAAGCUCUAUCAGCAGGGAAGAAAAAUGACGGUACCUGACUAAGAAGCCCCGGCUAACUACGUGCCAGCAGCCGCGGUAAUACGU